rnacentral:rRNA from 1 species
UACGGAGGGGGCUAGCGUUGUUCGGAAAUACUGGGCGUAAAGCGCACGUAGGCGGCUCAGCAAGUCAGGGGUGAAAUCCCGGGGCUCAACCCCGGAACUGCCCUUGAAACUGCUAGGCUAGAAUCUUGGAGAGGUCAGUGGAAUUCCGAGUGUAGAGGUGAAAUUCGUAGAUAUUCGGAAGAACACCAGUGGCGAAGGCGACUGACUGGACAAGUAUUGACGCUGAGGUGCGAAAGCGUGGGGAGCAAACAGGAUUAGAAACCCCCGUAGUCC